rnacentral:rRNA from 1 species
UACGUAGGGGGCAAGCGUUAUCCGGAUUUAUUGGGCGUAAAGAGCGCGCAGGCGGUCGUUCAAGUCGAGUGUGAAAGCCCCCGGCUCAACUGGGGAGGGUCACUCGAUACUGAUCGACUCGAAGGCAGAAGAGGGAAGCGGAAUUCCCGGUGUAGUGGUGAAAUGCGUAGAUAUCGGGAGGAACACCAGUGGCGAAGGCGGCUUUCUGGUCUGCUCUUGACGCUGAGGCGCGAAAGCUAGGGUAGCAAACGGG